rnacentral:lncRNA from 10 species
AGGGGGUUUGGGACGACCAGGGUCGCACCACGAGGUUUCGACUAACACCUGGAAAGACUAGCUCUGGCUUCAGAAGAACGACAAAAGCCGGUUUCUCAGUGAGGGAGGGGCCUCCGAAGCCCGCGAGACCUUAAAAUGAACCUGCCUUCCAGCUGCAAGUGAUACCCCACCCCCAUCUGGGAGGUAACCCGACCCCUAGGGAGUCACACAGUCCCCAGGGAAACUUCAUGGGGGCCCUGUCCGGGAGUGACCCGCCCCCGCCCCCGCGAGGGGCUUGGUCAUCCUCUGUUAGCCGACUACAGAAAGAGUACCCAGAGAGCAAAACACACACCGAAAGAAUCCAGUCUCCCGCAAAAGAGAUUCACCCCUUAGCAUUGCAGGAAGGAGAAUCUACAAUUUAUUUUCGGGGAAAUCGCUGGCCCCAAGAUAAUCUGUUAAAUUGUGGACUUUAUUUCCAAGAAAAAUACACCUCAUGCAUCUACACAAAACUUUCAAGGAGUCCGGAGAACCUAUGAAUCUUAAGGACCUCAAGAGGGAAGCAAGGAAAUUAACAUUAUUGAAAUACCAGCUGUGGGCCAGGCUUUGUUGUUAGGUAUUUUCAAACACAUUAAAGUCUUUCGACAACUUCAAAAUCGC